rnacentral:rRNA from 1 species
CCUACGGGAGGCAGCAGUAGGGAAUCUUCCGCAAUGGACGAAAGUCUGACGGAGCGACGCCGCGUGAGCGAAGAAGGUCUUCGGAUCGUAAAGCUCUGUUGUUAGGGAAGAAGAAGUACCGUUCGAAUAGGGCGGUACGGUGACGGUACCUAACGAGAAAGCCCCGGCUAACUACGUGCCAGCAGCCGCGGUAAUACGUAGGGGGCGAGCGUUGUCCGGAAUUAUUGGGCGUAAAGCGCGCGCAGGCGGUCCCUUAAGUCUGAUGUGAAAGCCCACGGCUCAACCGUGGAGGGUCAUUGGAAACUGGGGGACUUGAGUGCAGAAGAGGAGAGCGGAAUUCCAUGUGUAGCGGUGAAAUGCGUAGAGAUGUGGAGGAUUACCGGUGGCGAAGGCGGCCCCCUGGACAAAGACUGACGCUCAGGUGCGAAAGCGUGGGGAGCAAACAGGAUUAGAUACCCUGGUAGUC